rnacentral:rRNA from 1 species
UACAACAGAUAUAAUCUACGUGCUUUGACGUUUUAAACGGACAACUGCGGUAAUUCUGGAGCCAAUACGUGCUAAAAGCCGGAUUCAGCAAUGAGUUCGGUGCACUUAUCGGAGCAAAACCUUUCCUGGUUUGAUGCUAACUCUGGAUAACCUCGCUUAUCGCAUGACCUGGUGUCGGCGAAGAUGCACUCGAGUAUCUGCCUUAUCAACUUUCGUCGGUAGUGUAUUGGACUACCGAGGUGUUGACGGGUAACGGAGAAUCAGGGUUCGACUCCGGAGAGGGAGCCUUAGAAACGGCUACCAUGUCUAAGGACAGCAGCAGGCGCGCAACUUAUCCACUGUUCAUUGAACGAGAUAGUGACGAGAAAUAACGAGCUCGUUCUCUUUGAGGUCGAGCAUUGGAAUGGAUGGAAUGUAAACAAUUCCAUGAGUAUCAACGAGAGGGCAAGUCUGGUGCCAGCAGCCGCGGUAAUUCCAGCUCUCGUAAUGUAUAGAAUUAUUGUUGCGGUUAAAAAGUUCGUAGUUGGAUUUUCUACUGCGACUGGUUGCAUCUAACGAUGUGGACUAGGAGCAGUACUUGUGCCACGCUCGGGGCGACCCGACGGGGUGCGGAUUACUUUGAACGGCUUAAGUGCUCAAGGCGAGUCUUCGGACUGAAUACCGGUGCAUGGAAUAAUGGAAACAAGAUUUCGGCCGAGUUUUAAUGGUUUUGUCGGCUAGAACAAUGGUUAACAAGGAACAGCUGGGGGCACUCGUAUCGCUGCGCGAGAGGUGAAAUUCGUGGACCGCAGCGAGACGCCCGAAAGCGAAGGCAUUUGCCAAGAGUGUUUUCAUUAAUCAAGAACGAAAGUCAGAGGUUCGAAGGCGAUUAGAUACCGCCCUAGUUCUGACCGUAAACGAUGCCAACUAUCAAUCCGCCAGUGGUUCUUAGUCAUUGGCGGGGAGAUCGACGGAAACGAAAGUUUUUCGGUUCCGGGGGAAGUAUGGUUGCAAAGCUGAAACUUAAAGGAAUUGACGGAAGGGCACCACCAGGAGUGGAGCUUGCGGCUUAAUUUGACUCAACACGGGAAACCUCACCCGGCCAGUACAUCAUAAGGAUUGACAGAUUGAAAGCUCUUUCAUGAUUUGAUGAAUGGUGGUGCAUGGCCGUUCUUAGUUCGUGGCGUGAGUCGUCUGCUUAAUUGCGAUAACGAGCGAGACUCCGACUGCUAAAUACCCGCCGGAUUAUUGGUCUGCGUGGGUUCUUAGCUGGAUUCGAGACUCCAAGUCUCAAGAAAUGGAGCAAUAACAGGUCUGUGAUGCCCUUAGAUGUUCGGGGCCGCACGCGUGCUACAAUGAUGGUAACAGCGUGAUUGUCCUCGCCCGACAGGGCUUGGCAAACAGUUGAGAUAUUAUUAUGGCUGGAAUUGAGUGUUGAAAUUUUCUCUCAUGAACGAGGAAUUCCAAGUAAAUGCGAGUCAUCAACUUGCAUUGAUUACGUCCCUGCCCUUUGUACACACCGCCCGUCGCUACCCGGGACUGAGUUGUUUCGAGAAAUACAACAGAUAUAAUCUACGUGCUUUGACGUUUUAAACGGACAACUGCGGUAAUUCUGGAGCCAAUACGUGCUAAAAGCCGGAUUCAGCAAUGAGUUCGGUGCACUUAUCGGAGCAAAACCUUUCCUGGUUUGAUGCUAACUCUGGAUAACCUCGCUUAUCGCAUGACCUGGUGUCGGCGAAGAUGCACUCGAGUAUCUGCCUUAUCAACUUUCGUCGGUAGUGUAUUGGACUACCGAGGUGUUGACGGGUAACGGAGAAUCAGGGUUCGACUCCGGAGAGGGAGCCUUAGAAACGGCUACCAUGUCUAAGGACAGCAGCAGGCGCGCAACUUAUCCACUGUUCAUUGAACGAGAUAGUGACGAGAAAUAACGAGCUCGUUCUCUUUGAGGUCGAGCAUUGGAAUGGAUGGAAUGUAAACAAUUCCAUGAGUAUCAACGAGAGGGCAAGUCUGGUGCCAGCAGCCGCGGUAAUUCCAGCUCUCGUAAUGUAUAGAAUUAUUGUUGCGGUUAAAAAGUUCGUAGUUGGAUUUUCUACUGCGACUGGUUGCAUCUAACGAUGUGGACUAGGAGCAGUACUUGUGCCACGCUCGGGGCGACCCGACGGGGUGCGGAUUACUUUGAACGGCUUAAGUGCUCAAGGCGAGUCUUCGGACUGAAUACCGGUGCAUGGAAUAAUGGAAACAAGAUUUCGGCCGAGUUUUAAUGGUUUUGUCGGCUAGAACAAUGGUUAACAAGGAACAGCUGGGGGCACUCGUAUCGCUGCGCGAGAGGUGAAAUUCGUGGACCGCAGCGAGACGCCCGAAAGCGAAGGCAUUUGCCAAGAGUGUUUUCAUUAAUCAAGAACGAAAGUCAGAGGUUCGAAGGCGAUUAGAUACCGCCCUAGUUCUGACCGUAAACGAUGCCAACUAUCAAUCCGCCAGUGGUUCUUAGUCAUUGGCGGGGAGAUCGACGGAAACGAAAGUUUUUCGGUUCCGGGGGAAGUAUGGUUGCAAAGCUGAAACUUAAAGGAAUUGACGGAAGGGCACCACCAGGAGUGGAGCUUGCGGCUUAAUUUGACUCAACACGGGAAACCUCACCCGGCCAGUACAUCAUAAGGAUUGACAGAUUGAAAGCUCUUUCAUGAUUUGAUGAAUGGUGGUGCAUGGCCGUUCUUAGUUCGUGGCGUGAGUCGUCUGCUUAAUUGCGAUAACGAGCGAGACUCCGACUGCUAAAUACCCGCCGGAUUAUUGGUCUGCGUGGGUUCUUAGCUGGAUUCGAGACUCCAAGUCUCAAGAAAUGGAGCAAUAACAGGUCUGUGAUGCCCUUAGAUGUUCGGGGCCGCACGCGUGCUACAAUGAUGGUAACAGCGUGAUUGUCCUCGCCCGACAGGGCUUGGCAAACAGUUGAGAUAUUAUUAUGGCUGGAAUUGAGUGUUGAAAUUUUCUCUCAUGAACGAGGAAUUCCAAGUAAAUGCGAGUCAUCAACUUGCAUUGAUUACGUCCCUGCCCUUUGUACACACCGCCCGUCGCUACCCGGGACUGAGUUGUUUCGAGAAA